UACGUAGGGGGCAAGCGUUGUCCGGAAUCAUUGGGCGUAAAGAGCGUGUAGGCGGCUCGAUAAGUCUGCUGUGAAAGUCCAGGGCUCAACCCUGGAAGGCCGGUGGAAGCUGUCGGGCUAGAGUCCGGAAGAGGCGAGUGGAAUUCCCGGUGUAGCGGUGAAAUGCGCAGAUAUCGGGAGGAACACCAAUGGCGAAGGCAGCUCGCUGGGACGGUAUUGACGCUGAGGAGCGAAAGCCAGGGGAGCAAACGGG
rnacentral:rRNA from 1 species